AACCAUUGCAAGAACCAACCAAAAUGGCUACACGUAGCAGAAAGAAACGAAACCAACACACCAAUAAACAAGUGUUAAGAAUUGUACCUCGGUACGAUUCCAUUCCUGGAAGAACUCCAUCCCCAUUGUACAGGAGUAUCCCUCUUGUUUGGUAA